GACGAACGCUGGCGGCGUGCUUAACACAUGCAAGUCGAACGAUGAUGCCAGCUUGCUGGUGGAUUAGUGGCGAACGGGUGAGUAACACGUGAGCAACCUUCCCCUGACUUCGGGAUAACCGCGGGAAACCGUGGCUAAUACCGGAUAUGACGCGCUAUCGCAUGGUGGUGUGUGGAAAGAUUUAUCGGGUGGGGAUGGGCUCGCGGCCUAUCAGCUUGUUGGUGGGGUGAUGGCCUACCAAGGCGACGACGGGUAGCCGGCCUGAGAGGGUGACCGGCCACACUGGGGAUGAGACACGGACCAGACACCUACGGGAGGCAGCAGUGGGGAGUAUGGCACAAGGGGCGCAAGCCUGAUGCAGCGACGCCGCGUGAGGGAUGACGGCCUUCGGGUUGUAAACCUCUUUCAGUAGGGAAGAAGGCCUUCGGGUUGACGGUACCUGCAGAAGAAGCGCCGGCUAACUACGUG
rnacentral:rRNA from 1 species